rnacentral:rRNA from 1 species
UACGUAGGGUGCGAGCGUUAAUCGGAAUUACUGGGCGUAAAGCGUGCGCAGGCGGUUCGUUGUGUCGGUGGUGAAAGCCCCGGGCUUAACCUGGGAAUGGCCAUGGAAACUGGCGAACUGGAGUGUGGCAGAGGGGGUGGAAUUCCGCGUGUAGCAGUGAAAUGCGUAGAGAUGCGGAGGAACACCGAUGGCGAAGGCAGCCCCCUGGGCUAGCACUGACGCCUCAGGCACGAAAGCGUGGGGAGCAAACAGG